rnacentral:rRNA from 1 species
GCUGGCGGCAGGCCUAACACAUGCAAGUCGAGCGGAUGAAGGGAGCUUGCUCYCUGAUUCAGCGGCGGACGGGUGAGUAAUGCCUAGGAAUCUGCCUGGUAGUGGGGGACAACGUCUCGAAAGGGACGCUAAUACCGCAUACGUCCUACGGGAGAAAGUGGGGGAUCUUCGGACCUCACGCUAUCAGAUGAGCCUAGGUCGGAUUAGCUAGUUGGUGAGGUAAUGGCUCACCAAGGCGACGAUCCGUAACUGGUCUGAGAGGAUGAUCAGUCACACUGGAACUGAGACACGGUCCAGACUCCUACGGGAGGCAGCAGUGGGGAAUAUUGGACAAUGGGCGAAAGCCUGAUCCAGCCAUGCCGCGUGUGUGAAGAAGGUCUUCGGAUUGUAAAGCACUUUAAGUUGGGAGGAAGGGCAUUAACCUAAUACGUUAGUGUUUUGACGUUACCGACAGAAUAAGCACCGGCUAACUCUGUGCCAGCAGCCGCGGUAAUACAGAGGGUGCAAGCGUUAAUCGGAAUUACUGGGCGUAAAGCGCGCGUAGGUGGUUUGUUAAGUUGGAUGUGAAAUCCCCGGGCUCAACCUGGGAACUGCAUCCAAAACUGGCAAGCUAGAGUAGGGCAGAGGGUGGUGGAAUUUCCUGUGUAGCGGUGAAAUGCGUAGAUAUAGGAAGGAACACCAGUGGCGAAGGCGACCACCUGGGCUCAUACUGACACUGAGGUGCGAAAGCGUGGGGAGCAAACAGGAUUAGAUACCCUGGUAGUCCACGCCGUAAACGAUGUCAACUAGCCGUUGGGAGUCUUGAACUCUUAGUGGCGCA